GACAGAGGGGGCAAGCGUUGCUCGGAAUUACUGGGCGUAAAGGGCGCGUAGGCGGGAUGGCAAGUCGGUCGUGAAAUCCCUCGGCUCAACCGAGGAACGUCGAUCGAUACUGCUGUUCUUGAGGAUUGCAGAGGAGACUGGAAUCCCCGGUGUAGCGGUGAAAUGUGUAGAGAUCGGGAGGAACACCGGUGGCGAAGGCGGGUCUC
rnacentral:rRNA from 1 species